GCCCAGAUGGCGGAAUUGGUAGACGCGCUAGAUUCAGGGUCUAGUGGCCUCGCGGUCGUGGAAGUUCGAGUCUUCUUCUGGGCACCA
rnacentral:tRNA from 1 species